rnacentral:rRNA from 1 species
UACGUAGGUGGCUAGCGUUGUCCGGAUUUACUGGGCGUAAAGAGCGCGCAGGCGGUCGUUCAAGUCGAGUGUGAAAGCCCCCGGCUCAACUGGGGAGGGUCACUCGAUACUGAUCGACUCGAAGGCAGGAGAGGGAAGCGGAAUUCCCGGUGUAGUGGUGAAAUGCGUAGAUAUCGGGAGGAACACCAGUGGCGAAGGCGGCUUUCUGGCCUGCUCUUGACGCUGAGGCGCGAAAGCUAGGGUAGCAAACAGG